UGGGGAAUCUUAGACAAUGGGGGAAACCCUGAUCUAGCCAUGCCGCGUGAGUGACGAAGGCCUUAGGGUCGUAAACCUCUUUUCUCAAGGAAGAAGCACUGACGGUACUUGAGGAAUCAGCAUCGGCUAACUCCGUGCCAGCAGCCGCGGUAAUACGGAGGAUGCAAGCGUUAUUCGGAAUUAUUGCGCGUAAAGCGUCCGCAGGUGGUGCCUCAAGUCUGCUGUCAAAGACCGAAGCUCAACUUCGGGCAGGCAGUGGAAACUGAAGCACUAGAGUACGGUAGGGGUAGAGGGAAUUUCCAGUGUAGCGGUGAAAUGCGUAGAGAUUGGAAAGAACACCAGUGGCGAAGGCGCUCUACUGGACCGUAACUGACACUCAGGGACGAAAGCUAGGGGAGCGAAAGGGAUUAGAUACCCGGGUAGUCC
rnacentral:rRNA from 1 species